rnacentral:rRNA from 1 species
CAGCCGCCGCGGUAGUACGAAGGGGGCUAGCGUUGCUCGGAAUGACUGGGCGUAAAGGGCGCGUAGGCGGUUUUGACAGUCAGAUGUGAAAUUCCUGGGCUUAACCUGGGGGCUGCAUUUGAGACGUCAAGACUAGAGUGUGAGAGAGGGUUGUGGAAUUCCCAGUGUAGAGGUGAAAUUCGUAGAUAUUGGGAAGAACACCGGUGGCGAAGGCGGCAACCUGGCUCAUUACUGACGCUGAGGCGCGAAAGCGUGGGGAGCAAACAGGAUUAGAUACCCCCGUAGUCCCUGUCUCUUAUAC